UUGAUGAAGGUCUCUGCAACCAACUUGGCUAGAUUCAGCAUGCAGCACUCCAAUUCAGAGGCUGCAUUUAGACACAGCCUGUGAAUCCAAAGUAACAUGAGCAAAGUUCUAGUCACGCCAUAGUUUGUGGCUGCCAAAAUGUGGACACGGAAGCAGUUAUUUUAAAACUUGAUAAGCAACACAGCAUUUUGCAGAACUAUGGAAUAAAAGGAAUAUUGUGAGUUGCCCAACUGGGAAAGCAUUUGCAAGAUUAUCGACAUCCUGAUCAUUGAAUGCUCCUUACCUGAUCACAGGAUGUAUAAGAUAGCAAUUGAGUGCUUAGAAAAGUAGUGGCCACUACCACCACAGCUUCCACUUCCUGGCAGCCUCUUCCUGAGGACACUAGUGAGCACUGAGGAAAAUGUGGAGUCCAGAGCUGCCAGCACAGGUUGUCAAGUGCACCUGCCUCCUGAAGAUAGCUUCUCUUGUGUUUCAGGGGUUUCAACAAAGAAAUAGUGGCUACUCCUUUUCAAAAAUGGAAAGCAAGAGCAUAGAUAAUGAGAAUGCUCCUCACAGCCUGCCUGCUCCUCAGAAGUCAGAUACUGAACAUUUUGUUAUGUUAACUAAAAUGGGACAAGAGAGGAAAAAAAUGAAACUUCUCUUGGCAACUUGUGAUCAGGUAGAACAUCUCAGUGGCCAUUUAAGCUACUUAGUCAACUAACUAACUUGCUACCCUUUUGUCUAAGUUAGUAACUCUCACCUUGCUAUUUUCAUUUCUGCCCAAAGAUUGAAUCCUAUUGUACAGCUAACUUUCUAUAGCAUGUUGUUACUUGUAAGUCCUAGUUUCACAUGGAGCUCAAUAAACUUGGAAUUAAAUUCAUUUGGUUUCUCCAUUUGGUUUCUCCAUUUGGUUUCCCCAUUGUAGUGUUUAUUUCCUUCCAGUCUGAAGGUUUUGCCAGUGUCUGUCCCAGAUCUGGAUGCCCGUCUUCCUUCCUGGCUCAGCACUUAAAAUUAUCGCUGGUAUCACCAUUGUCUAAGUUCCCCAUAUUCAAAGCCCGGAAGGCAUUUUUAACUUGUUGCUCCCCUUCAUGCUUCAAAUUACUACGUUCUGCAAAUUUUUCCUUUAGAGUUAGUGCCGUGAUGUUGUUUUUUUCUAUUCCAUAAUAAUCGGACAGUCCAGAUACUGGUCAUGCAUCACCUCAAUUAAUGUAGCAGUCUUCCAGAAGCUCUGUCUGCCUUUCCCCUCUCUUAUUCUGCAUCUAAACAAAUGUUUGUAACACCCGCUACUCUACUCAAAAGCCUGUAAUAGCUCUAAAUUUCCCAACAUCGUGAAAACUCUGCUGCUUGAGUUUCUUCCUCCAUCUUAAUUCUGGAAUCAUGUUUAUCAGGAUACCCAAGUCUUAUUGCUGCGUAGUCUGGCCUGUCUUGGCAUUCUUCUUGAUUUUACUAAUUCUCAAGUUUCUACUGUGGUCCUUUCUCUUCCUAUUCAAAUACCUCCUCAAAUCCUAACCACUGUUCAGCCUCUUCUCCAUAAUAUUUUUCUGCUUGUUUUCAUUCACUUUGAUUCCCUUUCCUUUGUACUGCUAAGUCACAUCUUGUCUUUAGAUUUGAUUGUCAUCAUGGCAGCUUAGGUAGAAUGGAAAAAACCCUGGAUUGAAGUUGGAUAAACUUGAGUCCAAAACAGAUUUCAACA